rnacentral:tRNA from 1 species
GCUCAGGUGGUGGAAUUGGUAGACACGCCGUCUUCAGGUGGCGGUGCCUUCGGGUGUGCGGGUUCAAGUCCCGCCCUGAGUACCA